AGUGAACGCUGGCGGUAGGCCUAACACAUGCAAGUCGAACGGCAGCACAGUAAGAGCUUGCUCUUACGGGUGGCGAGUGGCGGACGGGUGAGGAAUACAUCGGAAUCUACUUUUUCGUGGGGGAUUACGUAGGGAAACUUACGCUAAUACCGCAUACGUCCUACGGGUGAAAGCAGGGGAUCUUCGGACCUUUCGCGAUUGAUUGAGCCGAUGUCGGAUUAGCUAGUUGGCGGGGUAAAGGCCCACCAAGGCGACGAUCCGUAGCUGGUCUGAGAGGAUGAUCAGCCACACUGGAACUGAGACACGGUCCAGACUCCUACGGGAGGCAGCAGUGGGGAAUAUUGGACAAUGGGCGCAAGCCUGAUCCAGCCAUACCGCGUGGGUGAAGAAGGCCUUCGGGUUGUAAAGCCCUUUUGUUGGGAAAGAAAAGCAGCAGGUUAAUACCCCGCUGUUCUGACGGUACCCAAAGAAUAAGCACCGGCUAACUUCGUG
rnacentral:rRNA from 1 species